rnacentral:rRNA from 1 species
UACAGAGGGGGCAAGCGUUAUUCGGAAUUACUGGGCGUAAAGGGCGCGUAGGCGGCACUGUUAGUCAGGCGUGAAAGUCCUGGGCUCAACCUGGGAACUGCGCUUGAUACGGCAGAGCUAGAGGAUGGAAGAGGGUCGCGGAAUUCCCAGUGUAGAGGUGAAAUUCGUAGAUAUUGGGAAGAACACCGGUGGCGAAGGCGGCGACCUGGUCCAUUACUGACGCUGAGGAGCGAAAGCAUGGGGAGCGAACAGG